rnacentral:misc_RNA from 1 species
GAUGAAGAACGUAGCGAAAUGCGAUACGUAAUGUGAAUUGCAGAAUUCAGUGAAUCAUCGAAUCUUUGAACGCAUAUUGCGCUCUUUGGUAUUCCGAAGAGCAUGCUUGUUUGAGUAUCAGUAAACACCUCAAAGACUUCAAUUUGUUUUGAAUGGCUUUGGACUUGAGCAAUCCCAACACCAGUCUUUACGAUGGGUGGAGGGUUGCUUGAAAUGCAGGUGCAGCUGGACAUUCUCCUGAGCUAAAGGCAUAUUUAUUUAGUCCCGUCAAACGGAUUAUUACUUUUGCUGCAGCUAACAUAAAGGGAGUUUGACCGUAUUGGCUGACUGAUGCAGGAUUUCACAAGGGUCGGCAACGAUUCUUGUAAAACUCGAUCUCAAAUCAAGUAAGACUACCCGCUGAACUUAAGCAUAUCAAUAAGCGGAGGA